GGCAAUUAUGACAUUUUAACCAAACCCAGCAUUCUUUUUAACCAAACCGACAAGCUUCUUCUUUUUAACCAAACCCACAAGCUUUUCUCCUUCUUAGUAGAUACUAAAAAUACAGUAUAAUCACCUUCUUCACAUGUCACUUUUUGUAAAAAAAAAAAAAAAAUCUAUCAGCAAAUCAAGAAGCUUUUAGUAGAAAAAUAUAGUGUAAUUUUCGCUCAGACCGUUGCUGCAAUUUUUAGGUGGACAUUUUUUUUUACCCAAGAAAAAAAGGCUAAGUGGACACUUUUUAUGAUCCGGAGGGAGUAUGAGAUAAUCAGGACCAGGCUGGUUCUCUGAUAUACUUUUCGGUGCUGAUUAUUAUCUUCCAUUUUUUAUCUGAACAAAGAAAAUUCUCAAGCAGGUUCCUACCCCAAGAGUUUUGUCGGACGACUGAAUGGGAAAAUAUUGAGACGAUGGAGAUGAAAAUGAGCUUGGAUAGUGGAAGCCCAAGCAGAGGCUGUGUUAUUUGCCGGAAAUCACUGCAUGCAAAUUAUCUCCGGUUUAAUUUAUACCCAAGGAGAGAUUUUUAAACAUCCUGAGAUAAAAUCAAACAUAUACUGCCAAAAAAUAUGGAUUUGUUUGGGCAAAAAAAAGACCUGCUCCUGGAUCAUAUGAUUUUGCAUGCUAAAGAGGCUCAUGUAUGAAUAACCUUCAAAAGAAAGCUAUCCAACAUUGCAGCAGAUCCCAAAGUGCAUUCACGAAGAUCAUAUUUUCCUAGCAGAAACUAAAGGGAAACAAGGAAAAUGGUGUAGGGAGGAGAAUGUGUUCGAGCUAUUGCUCUGCUUGGAAUUUUGAGGAGGGAGACGAGCUCGCAUUAGUCCCAGGUGUUGUACAGAGAUCUUAUGAAUAUAGCAUAAUUCAAUUAAUCAAACGGGCGCUUAAUUUGUGUCAAGCUGGAGUGGACAUAUCAACCUGGAUAGAGAAAAAGACUAGCAAUGAAUGCCAAUUCUCUGGAGCUUUUCUUAUGUGGUGGAUUGGAAAUUGAUGCAUUUAGUAUUUUUAUGUGCGGGUUAAAGUGGGUAUAACGUAAGACUUUGGGUGAUUUGUUUUUGUUAUAGUAUAUAUUUCCUUAAAGGAAAUAUUCACUUUGUUAAAGCCAGACUGUAGAAUUAUAUUGUUCAUUCGCCUUUGAAGACCAAAUAAUUAAACGACUUGGUUGUUCGCUUAAAGUUAUAUACAGAUAUUUCAAACGGAAAA